AUUUUUUUUUUAAAUUUAUAAAUUAUUUUAAGAUCAGCUAUACCAGAAGACUUACUUGGAAGUCGUUUAGAAGACUUCUAGCAUCUUAGUCGACUCAGACGACCUACUGGGGCUAUUUGUAAAAAUAGCUUCUGUUUUUUUGUUUGGUCACAAGGGGAUGGCUGUAAUUUCACAAGGAUUUUAGGUUAGUUUUGCAAUUGAUUCAAAUUUGGGUAUAAGUUUGUAUUUAAAAUCAAGUUGUGAGUCAUAUAUGGCAAAUUCCCCUACUUAAAAAACUUUAAAAUUUCAAACUAAAAAGAGUAUUAAUAAUAAACUGAUUAUAAUAUUCAAAUAAGAAUAUCUAGUUUUGCGUUUUUUGUGGAUAACACGUUUUUUUUUUGUUUUUGACGGAUAUUGCGAUUUUCUGGUUUUGGUAGGGAAAACGCGAUUUUCGGUUACGGGGGAAAAACAAGAUUUCUGGUUUCGGCUGAAAAACAAGAUUUUCCGGUUUUGGCUGGAAAAUGAGAUUUUUUUGGUUUUUGCUCGAAAAUGCGUUUUUGUGGGUUUGGCAAGAAAAUAUGUGUUUUGGCGGAAAAAUGCGUUUUUAUGGUUUUGUAGGGAAAAAAUGUUUUUUUUUUUUUGUUUUUGGCGGAAAAUGCGUUUUUGCGUUUAUGGAUAAAAAAUGCGUUUUUGCGAUUUUGACGAGAAAAUGUGUUUUUGGUGAAAAAUGCAUUUUGGUGGGAAAAUAAGUUUUUGGCGGGAAAAUAUGUUUUUAGCGAAAAAAUGUGUUUUUACGUUUUGGCGGUAAAAUGCGUUUUUGUGGGUUUGACGGACAAACGUGUUUUUGGCCAGAAAUGCGUUUUGCGGUUUUGAUUUUGGCGGGAAAUUGUGUUUUGUAGUCUUGACUGGAAAGUGCAUUUUUUCGAUUUUGGUGGAAACACAUUUUUAUGGUUUUGUCAUUUUUCUUGAGUGACAAAAUGAUAUUAGAUUUAGGUGUAAUUUGUGAAUUAUAUGAGGGGUAUAAUUGACAUUAUACAUUUCUGACAUAACCAUCUCCAUCCAGAUGGUUCCAUUUGGAUCGGUCACUUGAUUUUUAAAUCUAAAUUUUGAAAACUCAUUCCGAUAAUCCAUCUAGAUGACUUGUACUUUUAAUGUUUAAAUAAACAAAAAUUUCAUCUCCAUCGAGAUCCAGAUCCAGAUGACUCCAGAUAUGAAACAAAUAGCCCUUACAAUAUUUUGUAUGCAUGGGUCCAAAUAUCGGUGGAAAAUGAAGGGCCUGAGCAUCAUGCCUUUUUCUAUAGUGGUGAGCAUGGUUUUGUGUGUACGCCAUUGCUGGCAAUUAUUAGGAUGGAGAUUUCAUUUUGUGAGAAUGAAUAAAUAGGCUUUGAGGUUAUUACAUCGAACGCUUAAUAACACCUUAGUCGUUUUUAUUAAUUAGGGGCUUAUGUUUUCUGUAGGUUUCAGGCAUGGGUUGGUUUACGACGGUUGGGCUUUGAGUUGACUAAUCUAAUGGACUGGAGAUAGAUGGCAUACAGAAUUUUCAAGUUGUGAAAGUUUAGUUAAUUUUGUAAGACCCACUGAGAGUAAAAAAUGCUGAGGUAGACACUCGAGAGAUAUGUCCUAUUAAAUAUAUAUACUCUCUCUUCCAUUUCAGUACAAUUUUCGUUUAAUAAAAAAUGUCGUUUUGCAGAAAACAAUACAUCUCUUUAUAUAUAAAGUAGUGUUUGCUUCUCUCACAUGAUGCCACCUAAGAUUCCAGCUAGGAAAGUCUGUUCUUAUAAGCUUGACACGUGUCUCAUCUUCUUAUAAGCGGAUCGUUUCAUUAAGUCAGGUAUAUUGGACUUCUCUUGGUUAUCUGCUAGACUUAUACGAUUGUAUUAUGUGUGGGCUCUGUUUAAUGUUUUAUGGGCUUAGUAAGAAACAAAAGCGUGGCCAGUUUUCGCCGUCACCUUCUUCCAGAGUUUAGGGUUCAUCGACUCCUCCGAAAUCUGAUUACGGUAAUGGAGGUACUGAGAGGUCGUGUGAGAGGAGAUUUCGUGAGUAAUCUAUGUGUCGAUGUCUGAUCGUGUUGUUUCGGUAUCGAUUCUUCACCACAGAACCGUCACAAGUUGCUUUGAUUCAACGUCAUUAAUUAUUUCCUACCCACUACAGCCAGGAUCUCUCAUUCAAUGAAUCCUAAUCUUCUUUGAUACGGUGAUUCUCCACCUAUAUAAAGGUCAGUUUUUGGGAAGCAAGAAACGUGGUGAGGAGUACAUUCUCCGCCUAGACGCUAAUGUUGUCCAUUCUUUAAACUCAUGAGUCAUGCUCGUCGUAGUUGUAAAACAUAAUCCUGCACAUGAUCUCAAAAUUUCCAGCUUUUUCAAUCCAAACAUUUACUUCACUCUUUGCGAGAUAGUUUCAAUACUUUUUGUUGAUGCGGUUUUAUUCUUUACAUGUGUUUCAGGCGAUUAUACGACGGCAAGCUGGGAAGCUGUGUGUUCUUUUGUAGAUGCUGUCAAUGGUAGGGAUUCAGAGAGACUGUCAUGAAAUAUAGUUCUAUUGAAAACAUGAGAAAUAUCAAAUUAAGGAGUUCAGACAACCGUGUAGACACAAUGGAAGAACAAAGUGAUGUAGGUUGCUCUUGGUCGUUCCUCUUCUGAUGAAAUCCAUCAUGCCAACUUCAAAUCUUCCAAGGUUGUGUUACUCUGCUUCUUACAAUUUUUUUUUGGUCUAAAGCUUCUUACAAUAUUUAUUUUAUAUUACUUGGUAUUUUACAUAUUUUUUUGGAAUAUUAUUUCAUCUGCGUCAUGGUGAUGGACUGCUUAUUAUUGAUAUGCCAAAGGAAGAUGUUGAAAGAUGGAACAACAAAUAAGAUAAUAAGAAGAAGAGAGUAAAGGGAUGAUGAGGAAACACAAGUCUUUUGCAGAGCUAUAAUGAGAUUUGUCAGAUGGAGAGACCAAAAAGAAUAAAAAUCAUGUACAUGGCUAACUAUCAGACUUGAGAAAUCUGUGUUAUUUACUUCUUCUAUACAAAAAUCCAUCAUUUCCUGUGGCAUGUUACAAUAUAAACCCAGUAUGAGUUUCACCACGAGUGUUGUGAAGUGCUUGAAGAGGAGAACAAAAGAUUAGCGUGAAGUAGGAAUCUAUCAUGCAUCUGACCCAACUCUCCUCCUUAAUUUACCCUAGGUCUCUGUACUUCUCCAACCUACAUAACCCACCCACGAUCUCACCUCUGGUAAUCACACCUUUCAUUCUAUUCGUUUCCAUUAUAUCGUGUUAGCCAUUAAUAAAUUUCAAAUUUUGAACACUGCAAAUCAUAAAUACUUACCAUAAAAAAAUCAGAAAGCCAUUGGUCGUACCUUUUUUUGUCAUCUAUGAAUUGCAUUUAACGAAAGUUGAGGUACAACAAGGAUGAUGCUAGACAUGUAUGCACUUUACGAAAAUCAGAUUAACCAACAUCAUAAGCUGAUUUGUCCAACUAUGACAAGGGUCCAAAUCUUAAGAAACUAUAAAGGAUCUUGAUCACUCCAACUAUGAAGGCAAGCAAAAUAUAUUUUAUCACAUAUAAUCUAUGUUCACUUAGAAUUUUCUAAAAGAUAAAAAUCAUUAUCAUACAUAUCUUUUGCAAGAAA